rnacentral:lncRNA from 1 species
CACUACAGUGACUUGCAAGCAACUCACUGUAUUUUGAUAUCGGACUAAUUGAGUUUUAAAUUCAAUGAUGAAAGAUUUUUGGAUACAAUCAAGUACUUGUCAAGUCGGUGCGUGAGUCAAGAUGGGAUUGACCCCUCCAAAUUUGUAGGAGUUAAUGUAUCAAUGUAUUUUAAUUUAGCAAAACCUAAGCUUGGAUAAUCCAUGUGAUGGAUUUGAAAG